CUUCCACCUCUGCCCUGGUGGAGAAGCAGCAUCAACAUCUACCAGAUCUCACAAGAUCUCGCCAAACUCUUAAGUAAACAGAUUGGAAAGAAUGAUCAAAGAUUUUUCUGCUGGUAUAAUUGAAGCACAGGUUCACGGUAUACAGAGGCCGCACUGCUAUGUGUAUAUACAUUUAAAAAUUUUAUAUUGUCCUAUCAGGACAAAUCCUUUGGAGGGUCUUCAUUGGAAAUGGUCAAGGUGAGAAGGUCCAUCUGUUAAUGGAUUUUUUGAACAAAUCUAUGCAUUAAAGGAAGACGGAUUGCAAAGGUAGAGGAAAUACAAUCAGCGUUUUAAAAGUAUGGCAGUGAGAGCUUACCCACAAAUAACAGGAGCAAUAAUGAAUGGGAGAGAGCAUAAAGUUGUUUUGCAGAAGAUCCUGUGCUUCUCAUUACGAACCAUGAACCUUGCUGAGGACCACUGAAACCAAGCUGGAGCAUUUUGGCAUGGAUUAAACGUUCCUCAUUUUGCAUACAUUCAAGCUCUAGUUGAAUUGUCAGACUGUACUUUUUGUAUUCCAUUGCAGUUCACUUCCAUCUUUACAUUUGUUGCCCAUACCUGAAGAUUACACCCCAUGAAACGUUUUGCUGUAAUAAAAGGUAUUACAUCUUUAA